AUGAAACCGCAGCAAGCACCCAAAAAAUUCACUCUCUUUUUAUCAGCUUUCACCUUGCUGUGUUCAGAACUGCUCCCGGCCUGUGGCAGAUCACCAGGGCUUGCAACCGGAUAUUUUCUCAGUAAACAAAACCGAGUGCAGUGGAGACAAUUUGCUGAUCAGCGGAAAGACUGCAAAGCAAACCAGAGAGCUUCCAUCAACAUUUUGUGUUGGGGACCCCAAAGCGAAGCCUUUCCCUAUCCUCAUAGAGCUGCAGAUGUGUGCUAUGGGGCUGGGCUUUCCGGCAUUUCCUGCAUCUUUCUCUCAUUUUGGUGAAAUGGUGGUAAGUGGUUAUCCAGAAACAUCUCUGAGAAGGUUUCAUCUGCUGGGGAUGGCCAGAGCUCAGGGAUUGCUGUGCAAAACCUUAUUUGCUGCUCUCUGCAUCACUCACUGCUGUGGUUUCACACUUUAUUGACUGCCUCUGGGUCCCGACACUGGGGAUUCGGGGAAAGUAUUAAGUAACGACUUCUCAUGUCGUUUUGCUUCUCAUAUGAAGACUUCCUCCAAGCAUGAGUAUUAAAUUUGGAGGAAAGUCUGAAGAGCUUUGGAAAAUAUCAGUGGUUGCCCUCUGGCUGAGGCAUGGGAUGAGGACAUAAGAGCGUGUGCUGAAGGGUUGCUGUGGCCCCCAGUGCCAUGGGAUUUCCCUGGGAGCAGCUUUUGAUGAUGCAGGUGGCAGACCCUCCAUGGCAGGGACGGUUCUGUCAGCUCAGAGCCCUGUCAGGGACCAGGGCUGAUAUUUCCAAAGGUAACACUGGUUACAGCGUGAGAGAGAAGGAAAGCACUGGUUGGUAGUGCCCUCAAACAGCAUGGGGGCUGCAGUCCCGUCCCAAACAGGCUAUCCAGGAAAGUGAUAGAGUCAUCAUCCCUGAAGGUGUUCUAGAAACAUGGAGAUGUGGCACUGAGCGACAUGGUCAUAUCAGCCUUGUGGGGAUGGGUUGAUGGUUGUAUUUGAUGACCUUAGAGGUCAUUUCCAACCUCAAUGAUUCCAUGAUUAUAUGAUUCUAUAAUUCAGUGUUCCACUCUGUGCAAGAAGGUGGCAGAGACAGCAUGGCAAGGGGGCACAGGACCCUGGAGAUCCAUCAGCCACUGAAUUGCUGCCAGCAAAGAUCCUGGCGUUGUCACGCAUUUGUGAUUUGGGUUAUAUUUGGGUUAUUUGGCUAUAUUUAGGAACACAGUGACCUGCCAAGGUCAAAUACUGACUGGGUUGCAAAGAUGUUUGUGCUUUGCUACCAGCACUUGCAUUUGUAGCUAAGAGCACCCUAACCACACAGGACAG
rnacentral:lncRNA from 1 species